GACGAACGCUGGCGGCGUGCCUAACACAUGCAAGUCGAACGGGGUAAAGAGCUUCGGUUUUUACUUAGUGGCGAACGGGUGAGUAACGCGUGAGAAACCUGCCUUUCAGUGGGGGACAACAGUUGGAAACGACUGCUAAUACCGCAUAACGUAUUUUGGGGGCAUCCCUUGAAUACCAAAGCUUUAUGUGCUGAAAGAUGGUCUCGCGUCUGAUUAGCUAGAUGGCGGGGUAACGGCCCACCAUGGCGACGAUCAGUAGCCGGUCUGAGAGGAUGAACGGCCACAUUGGGGACUGAGAUACGGCCCAGACUCCUACGGGAGGCAGCAGUGGGGAAUAUUGGGCCAAUGGGGGGAAACCCUGACUCAGCAACGCCGCG
rnacentral:rRNA from 1 species